CCUGCAGGCUUUCCUUGGUGGAUCUGAACUCACAUGCUCUCCAGCCCAUAGCCGAAGCUGCAGCUCUCAAAGGCACCAGGCUCAGGAGGAGAGGCCAGGAAUUUGGGAAGAAUUGAGCUGGGCAGUUUUCUGUUCCACGUGGCGUUGACUUGGACCCUUCGUGUUAGCAAUGGAAACCACCAAUAUGCCAGAAGAGCCUAGUUUGAGAAUCCCUAUGGAAAGCAACAUUCCCGUGUGUCUUCCCUAAUUAACAGAAAACUUACAGGAUGCAUAACACUCUUCAGUGAUCACUGAAAGAAUGGGAAUUUGAGAAAAUAAUCUUUUGCUGUCUGACUUCUCCAUCCAUUUCUUCAUUUAUUCAACACAAUUGAUCUGGAACCUUCAGCAAUGUUUACAUCAAUGUUCUGACAGAAAGCAUGACAAGUGUCCACUCUAAGAUCCCCAUGAAUGGAGGAAACAGAUAUAUGUUCAAAAAUUAGUGGGAUAAGAGCUAUAGUCAAGACAUCCUUAUGGUAUGACGGAGAUCAAGAAAAAAGUUGUUAAUAGCCUGGGAUGGUCAUGGAAGGCUUCCUGGAGAAGGUGAUUGAUGACUGAGCUUAUCUUGAUGGGAUGAAGCAAAAGGGGGUCAGCUUGGAGCCAAGUAAGAAAAAGAUGCUCCCUCUCUGACUUUAGACAUACCUCCGCAGUGAGUGUGCCACAUUUCAAAAAUGAGAACUGAUGAAGCAGGAAGAAAAGGCAGAUUGGAAUCUGAAUGCAUUAGUGGCGGUCUCUUGUGAGAGUUGGCUGGAAAGCGCUCAGGGCAUCCUGCAUAGGGCUGUCUGCCGAAUUGACUUGGCUUGUGUCCUUUCCCUUCCCAGCUCCGCUCCUUUCAUAUGUCCUAAUAGGUUAUGGCUUCCAGGAGGAAAUAUGCUAUGCAUUUUCAGAGAGGCAUUUUGGAAACGCAAAGCCUGACAUCAAAGGAGUAGCUUGUUCUUUCUAGAAAAAAAAAAAAAAAGGAAAAUUUUGCUAUA